GUAGUUGCCUUGAAUUAUGACUUCUGGUAUGUUAGGCCAGAAAGGCUAUGCAUUUUCUUUCUGAAUUUCAGCCAGCAGUUAGGAAGCUGACUAUAUCUUGCCCUCUCUCUUAAAAAGCCACAAGAAUAGUAAUUCAUUCUACCUACUCUCUUUUUCUGGAGUUAGACUCUCCAUCAGAAGAUGUUCCUCAUUUUGCACAUACUUCGGAGAUCCUAGGUAGGUUGUUUCCAUUUUCGUGUAAGUACAUGUUUACAUUUUGUUUGUUUUGUUUUUUGGUUUAGCAUUUAUAGGAAUCUAAUUAUAUCAGAAGCACGACACAGAUAUUUGUUUUUUAUUUUGUCAUACACCUUAGCAACAAGGGAAAGAAGCCUAGAGUUAGAUAUAAAAUUCAUUCCAAUCACCAGUUGCUAUUAAGUUAGAUGUGAGAAUUUUCAGAUGCUCCCUGGGGUCAAAUAAGAUUCUACUUUCAAUUUUGAACUUAACUUCUGAUUUUGAAGCUUGUAAUCAAAAUAUGACUGUUAAAAUAUGUUUAAAAAGUGAUGUUUUUUCUGGAAAUUAUUACACAAUUUUAUAAUCUUCUUUUACAUACUUAGAUAUGUUUAUGUAAAAAAAAACCCCUUUUGUUUGACAGUUAUUUGCAAUCUCAUAGGUCUCCCACCAAGGUACUGAUUUUUAUUUACCUUGUAUAAAGAGCAACUUUUUAUUAUAUUUACCAUUUAUAUUAAUGAAAUAAGACCUACCUUGUGACAGAAUCAUUCCAUGAAACAUAGUCUCAGUUUAAUAACCUGGUAGCUAUCCAAUGGAUGGGGGAGAGAAUGAUUAACAUGGAAAUAGGAAACCCUGAUAGCAUCUUCUUUAGACUCUAAGCUUAUUAAGUGGUGAAAUUGUAGCUUCACUACUUUUAUCUCUAGCAUUUGAUUCCAUGAAAUGUGUGCACUGCAUUGGGUAAAUUUUGGGAAAGCAAAAUCACAUGAAGAACAAUUUCUGUUUAUUAAAUAAUAAUUUUUUGAUUCAGUCUGAAACACUGUAUUUUAUACCAGUGUUUGAAAUUUAAUAAUAACUAUAGUCAGUUAAAUGAAUUUGUUUGACUCUAAGUGACAUUUUCUACAAAAUGCCAAUAAUGUUAGCUCACUAAGUGUACAAGUAAUAUAAGAUAAUGUAGGUGAAAUUGUUUUUGAAGUAUCAAAUUGCUAACAAAUGGUAGUCAUGAUAUCUGUGUGUGACACAGUAUGCUAGGUGGUCUAGUUAACACAAAGUAGUCAAGAUAAUGUUCAUUGCAACACAGAAGUUGCACACAAGACUUGGCUGAAAAUUCAAGCCUAUAAAUAUUUAUUGAACUUCUACCUGUGCAUGUGAGGUUCAUGUGUCCAAAUGAAUUGUCUGUGGUUGAAGAGCCAAGUAACAUUCCUGUGAGGUGAUAUCUACAAUCUCUAGAAUAUAAAAUUUGUGAUGCAUUUUUGGCCUUUCAGAGCUUCAUGCUUUGCUGUUCCCUUCCUUUCUCGGCUCUCAAAUACUCAAGGAAUCUGAAUAUACAAAAUAUUUUAUGUAUGUUUAUAUGG
ensembl:lncRNA